GGCCUUCGGGUUGUAAAACUCUGUCUUCAGGGAAGAAAAAAAUGACGGUACCUGAGGAGGAAGCCACGGCUAACUACGUGCCAGCAGCCGCGGUAAUACGUAGGUGGCAAGCGUUGUCCGGAAUUACUGGGCGUAAAGAGCGCGUAGGCGGGGAUUUAAGUCAGGAGUGAAAACUGGCGGCUCAACUGCCAGCCUGCUCUUGAAACUGGAUCUCUUGAGGGUAUGAGAGGAAAGCGGAAUUCCCAGUGUAGCGGUGAAAUGCGUAGAUAUUGGGAGGAACACCAGUGGCGAAGGCGGCUUUCUGGCAUACAACUGACGCUGAGGCGCGAAAGCGUGGGGAGCAAACGGGAUUAGAUACCCCGGUAGUCCACGCCGUAAACGAUGGGCACUAGGUGUAGGAGGUAUCGACCCCUUCUGUGCCGUAGUUAACACAAUAAGUGCCCCGCCUGGGGAGUACGGCCGCAAGGUUG
rnacentral:rRNA from 1 species